rnacentral:rRNA from 1 species
UAGGUAGCUUAACCUUCGGGAGGGCGCUUAGCACUAUGUGAUUCAUGACUGGGGUGAAGUCGUAACAAGGUAACCGUAGGGGAACCUGCGGUUGGAUCACCUCCUUACCUUAAAGAA